UGGGGAAUUUUGCACAAUGGGGGAAACCCUGAUGCAGCGACGCCGCGUGAUUUAGAAGGCCUUCGGGUUGUAAAAAUCUUUUCUAUGGGAAGAAAAUGACAGUACCAUAGGAAUAAGGACCGGCUAAUUACGUGCCAGCAGCCGCGGUAAUACGUAAGGUCCGAGCGUUGUCCGGAAUCAUUGGGCGUAAAGGGUACGUAGGCGGGUAAGCAAGUUAGAAGUGAGAUCCUAUAGCUCAACUAUAGUAAGCUUUUAAAACUGCUCAUCUUGAGGUAUGGAAGGGAAAGUGGAAUUCCUAGUGUAGCGGUGAAAUGCGCAGAUAUUAGGAGGAAUACCGGUGGCGAAGGCGACUUUCUGGCCAUAACCUGACGCUUAGGUACGAAAGCGUGGGUAGCAAACAGG
rnacentral:rRNA from 1 species